rnacentral:rRNA from 1 species
UACGUAGGGUGCAAGCGUUUGUCCGGAAUUAUUGGGCGUAAAAGAGCUCGUAGGCGGUCUGUCGCGUCUGCUGUGAAAAUCAGGGCUCAACCCUGGACCUGCAGUGGGUACGGGGCAGACUAGAGUGCGGUAGGGGAGAUCGGAAUUCCUGGUGUAGCGGUGAAAUGCGCAGAAUAUCAGGAGGAACACCGGUGGCGAAGGCGGAUCUCUGGGCCGUAACUGACGCUGAGGAGCGAAAGCAUGGGGAGCGAACAGG